rnacentral:siRNA from 1 species
GGAUAACCCAGGUAUCCCAAGCCC